GGGAUAAAAACCAGAGCAGACCAUUAUUGCCACAGCUGGAACUACUGGAAGUGAGAAGGUCCAGGGCUGGCAAUGCAGAAUUUUCAGUGAUCCUUCGCAAACAACAGCAGAGUCUCCACCCAUCAAUCUAAAAGGCACUGGACUUUGCAACUCACAUUUCAACACUACUUAUCUGGAUUAGGAAAGCAAUUACUUGCCAAUUAAGACACGUAAAUAGGCUCAAGAAAACAAUGUAACAUAGCAAAAAAAUACUAACUUAAUGUUUUGAAUAAAAAGAAACACUGUAAUGAUUUUUUUUUUUCUUGUAAGCAG